rnacentral:tRNA from 1 species
AAUAAGUUGGCAGAAUAUUGCACCCGACUUAGGAUCGGGACAUGAACCUCCCUUCACUUAUUA